rnacentral:rRNA from 1 species
AACGAACGCUGGCGGCAGGCUUAACACAUACAAGUCGAACGCAUCGCAAGAUGAGUGGCAGACGGGUGAGUAACGCGUGGGAACAUACCCUUUUCUACGGAAUAGCUCUGGGAAACUGGAAUUAAUACCGUAUACGCCCUACGGGGGAAAGAUUUAUCGGGGAAGGAUUGGGCCGCGUUGGAUUAGCUAGGUGGGGGGGUAAAGGCCUACCAAGGCGACGAUCCAUAGCUGGUGUGAGAGGAUGAUCAGCAACAUUGGGACUGGGACACGGCCCAGACUGCUACGGGAAGCAGCAGGGGGGGAUAUUGGACGAGGGGCGCAAGCCUGAUCCAGCCAGGCCGGGGGAGUGAUGAAGGCGUUAGGGUUGUAAAGCUCUUUCACCGAUGAAGAUAAUGACGGUAGUCGGAGAAGAAGCCCCGGCUAACUUCGUGCCAGCCGCCGCCGUAA